UCCCUGGUGGCUCAGAGGUUAAAGCGUCUGCCUGUAAUGCGGGAGACCCGGGUUCGAUACCUGGGAUGGGAA
rnacentral:tRNA from 1 species